GACGAACGCUGGCGGCGUGCCUAACACAUGCAAGUCAACUUGACGGAAGGAGCAAUCUGACCGUAGAGUAGCGCAAGGGUGCGUAACGCGUAAGUAACUUGCCCAAGGUAAGGAAUAACGUCGAGAAAUCGGCGCUAAUACCUCAUGAUGCAGCGGAUCCGCAUGGAUAUGUUGUUAAAGGUUUACCGCCUUGGGAUAGGCUUGCGUCUGAUUAGCUAGUUGGUGUGGUAACGGCACACCAAGGCUACGAUCAGUAACUGGUCUGAGAGGAUGAUCAGUCACACUGGAACUGAGACACGGUCCAGACUCCUACGGGAGGCAGCAGUGAGGAAUAUUGGGCAAUGCUCGAAAGAGUGACCCAGCAACGCCGCGUGGAGGAUGAAGGUAUUCUAUAUCGUAAACUCCUGUGAGAGCAGACGAAAGACAGAUUAUUAAUCUGGAUGACUGUAUGCUCAGAGGAAG
rnacentral:rRNA from 1 species